AGCAGCCGCGGUAAUUCCAGCUCCAAUAGCGUAUAUUAAAGUUGUUGCAGUUAAAAAGCUCGUAGUUGAAUUUCGGGGUCUGUCCGUCGGUCGGGCUUCACGGUCCGUACUGGUGUGAUGGGUUCCUACCUUCUGAAUAACCGGCAUGCCAUUCAGUUGGUGCGCCGGGGAAGCAGAGCUAUUACCUUGAAAAAAUUAGAGUGCUUAAAGCAGGCUAGUGCUUGAAUAGAUUAGCAUGGAAUAAUAAAAUAGGACGGCAUGGUUCUAUUUUGUUGGUUUCUAGGAUCACCGUAAUGAUUAAUAGGGAUAGUUGGGGGCAUUAGUAUUCAAUUGUCAGAGGUGAAAUUCUUGGAUUUAUUGAAGACUAACUACUGCGAAAGCAUUUGCCAAGGAUGUUUUCAUUAAUCAAGAACGAAAGUUAGGGGAUCGAAGACGAUCAGAUACCGUCGUAGUCUUAACCAUAAACUAUGCCGACUAGGGAUCGGAUGAUGUUAAUUUUUUAAUGACUCAUUCGGCGCCU
rnacentral:misc_RNA from 1 species